CAUACCUUCUGGAUGUGGUAUCCUGUCCCAUCUAGUGGCGCUGAGACCACUUAAAGAGAGAGAAAAUGAGUCUGCUCUACAGCUUUAGCAAACAGCCAGGUGGCUUUUACCUCAUGCGGUAGAGGUUCAAGCACUAAGCUCCAGAGGUCCCAGGUUCGAUCCCGCCUGCCGACGACUGGAGUCUGUUGAUAUUCCACAUGCAAGGCCAGAAAGACAGGCAGA